UGGGGAAUAUUGCACAAUGGGCGAAAGCCUGAUGCAGCAACGCCGCGUGAGUGAUGAAGGUCUUCGGAUUGUAAAGCUCUGUCUUUUGGGACGAUAAUGACGGUACCAAAGGAGGAAGCCACGGCUAACUACGUGCCAGCAGCCGCGGUAAUACGUAGGUGGCGAGCGUUGUCCGGAUUUACUGGGCGUAAAGGGUGCGUAGGCGGAUGUUUAAGUGAGAUGUGAAAUACCCGGGCUUAACUUGGGUGCUGCAUUUCAAACUGGAUAUCUAGAGUGCAGGAGAGGAGAAUGGAAUUCCUAGUGUAGCGGUGAAAUGCGUAGAGAUUAGGAAGAACACCAGUGGCGAAGGCGAUUCUCUGGACUGUAACUGACGCUGAGGCACGAAAGCGUGGGUAGCAAACAGGAUUAGAUACCCUGGUAGUCCGCGCCGUAAACGAUGAGUACUAGGUGUAGGAGGUAUCGACCCCUUCUGUGCCGCAGUAAACACAUUAAGUACUCCGCCUGGGAAG
rnacentral:rRNA from 1 species